rnacentral:rRNA from 1 species
GCCGAAAGACCAAGGGUUCCUGCGCAACGUUAAUCGACGCAGGGUGAGUCGGUCCCUAAGGCGAGGCUGAAGAGCGUAGUCGAUGGGAAACGGGUUAAUAUUCCCGUACUUCUAGUUACUGCGAUGGGGGGACGGAGAAGGCUAGGCCAGCAAGGCGUUGGUUGUCCUUGUUUAAGGUGGUAGGCAGAGAUCUUAGGUAAAUCC